AUUGAACGCUGGCGGAAUGCUUUACACAUGCAAGUCGAACGGCAGCACGGACUUCGGUCUGGUGGCGAGUGGCGAACGGGUGAGUAACAUAUCGGAACGUAUCCAAUAAUGGGGGAUAACGAGUCGAAAGAUUCGCUAAUACCGCAUACGCCCUACGGGGGAAAGCUGGGGACCUUCGGGCCUGGCGUUAAUGGAGCGGCCGAUAUCUGAUUAGCUAGUUGGUGAGGUAAAGGCUCACCAAGGCGACGAUCAGUAGCUGGUCUGAGAGGACGACCAGCCACACUGGAACUGAAACACGGUGCAGUCUCCUACGGGAGGCAGCAGUGGGGAAUUUUGGACAAUGGGCGCAAGCCUGAUCCAGCCAUUCCGCGUGAGUGAAGAAGGCCUUCGGGUUGUAAAGCUCUUUCGCAAGGGAAGAAAACUUAGCCACUAACAUUGGUUGAGGUUGACGGUACCUUGAUAAGAAGCACCGGCUAACUCCGUGCCAGCAGCCGCGGUAA
rnacentral:rRNA from 1 species